rnacentral:rRNA from 1 species
GAGACAGCAGCAGCCGCGGUAAUACUGAGGGUGCGAGCGUUAAUCGGAUUUACUGGGCGUAAAGCGUGCGUAGGCGGCUUUUUAAGUCGGAUGUGAAAUCCCUGAGCUUAACUUAGGAAUUGCAUUCGAUACUGGGAAGCUAGAGUAUGGGAGAGGAUGGUAGAAUUCCAGGUGUAGCGGUGAAAUGCGUAGAGAUCUGGAGGAAUACCGAUGGCGAAGGCAGCCAUCUGGCCUAAUACUGACGCUGAGGUACGAAAGCAUGGGGAGCAAACAGGAUUAGAUACCCCAGUAGUCCCUGUCUCUUAUAC